rnacentral:lncRNA from 1 species
AUGACUGAUGAUUACGGAAUCCAACCGCAGCAGGAGCAUUACGCUUGCCUUGUUGAUCUGUUUGGACGAGCUGGUCGGUUGAAAGAAGCUUAUGAAACCGUUAAAACCGCAGCAGGAGCACUACGCUUGCCUCGUUGAUCUGUUUGGACGAGCUGGUCGGUUAAACGAAGCUUAUGAAACCGUUAAGGGAAUGCCGUUUGCUCCAGAUGGAGGAGUCUGGGGAACGUUACUUGGAGCCUGUCGGCUUCACAAGAAUGUUGAGCUUGCUAAAGUUGCUUCGAGG